GGGAACUACGAGCAUAAGCUUAAAACCCAAAGGACUUGGCGGUGCUUUAGACCCCCCUAGAGGAGCCUGUUCUAGAACCGAUAACCCCCGUUCGACCUCACCUUUUCUUGUUCAUCCCGUCUAUAUACCGCCGUCGUCAGCAUACCCUGUGAAAGAAACAUAGUAGGCAAAACUGGUAAAACCCAAAACGCCAGGUCGAGGUGUAGCAUACGAAAAGGAAAGAAAUGGGCUACAUUUCCUCUUACAGGAAAUACGAAUUGUGUCAUGAAACAACACAUGAAGGAGGAUUUAGCAGUAAGCAGAAAAC
rnacentral:rRNA from 2 species